rnacentral:lncRNA from 1 species
UGUCUGGGUGUCGGGCUUGUUUUCUGGACUUUGGUUUCAGCUGCAUUCCUGACUUCUGAAAGAGUAGGGGGUGUGGAUUUCUACUAGGAGUAACCACUGGGAAGGAAGUAAUGUUCAUUAAGUGUGCAGGCAGUGCAGGACUAAGCAUGCUCAGUGAAAAAGCUUUUCUCCCUUGCCUGUCAAGCCCUGUGUUUGAACUCAUUCCAGAAUGCCGGAUUUACUUUUCACCAAGAAGCAGUACCUGGCCGGACUGCAUUUUUCUCUCUCUCUCCUCAGCCAUGGGAAGAUUGGAAACAAUAUUCUUCUGAUGCUCAGUGCGCUCAGCCCGCGUGCGUGUGCGGCUGUUGCAGUGGAGGAGGAGGACAAACUUUGCUACCUGUGAGACGAAGGCUGGUAGCACUGGAAAUGAAAACAGUUCCAUUUAUGAUACUGUUCUCAGGCUCCAUAAAUGAACACCUUGAUGGCUUCAUUGGGAAUUCCUUAUGGAGAAGAAGGAGAAAUGAUCAUCUGAGUUCUCCUGAAGAUGGGAGUCAGGACCAGACAGGCCCCAGCAACGUUCCUAAGGCACAGAAUGUCACCUGUCACCUCUUUUCCUCCUACAGUUCCUCACCAAGGUUCAGGUGGUGACAUGAGCCAGGAAUGGAAAAGAAAUGUGACCCUCCUUUUCAGCCAUUGCUGACUGUGAAACAUAGAAUCUCUGUCCAGGUAAAAAAUUUGAGUUGUCAUAGCAACAGCAGGAUGGCUAUUUAUUUUUGGAUUUCCAUUUUCACUGAUUUAUUUAACACAUUGACAAUCCAUUUAUAAUGAAGAGGAAUUGAGAGGGUUUUUGUUUCCAGCUAGGUUUAUACUGAACCGAGGUUGGGUUACUUUUCUUUGUAGAAAAUGAGCAAAGAUAAAAAAGGUAAAUAAGAAAGGAACCAUGUGGAUUUCAGGAGCUUUUCUUGCAGAGGAAUCCUUGUGCUGAGUGGAGCAUGGGUCAGUGAGAACAUGGCUUAUCUGUGUAUUUUGUGUCUUCUGGAAGAGCCUCAGCGUUAUAAAAUGGAGCAGAGCUUUAAGUCCUGUGCAGCAUGAGGCAGAAAAGCAGUAGGUGCUCCCCUCCACCUGUCUCUGCUUGCUUGCACAUACCUGAUGCCAAGCAGAGGACAGCAGAGCCGUUGCACACAGCUCCUGGACUCCUUGCACGAGUCAGGGAGUGCCCAUGGCCGUGAGCAGAAGCAUCAUUCUCACUGGGGCUGCAGCUCUGCCGGGCUCAGUGCCUCAAAUUCUCCUUUUCCUCUGCAGCAUUUGUGUGUGAGCAGGUGGGAAUUCUGGGGCUCAGAGGAGCAGCAGAGCAGCCCGGGGUUGAAGGAGCCCAACCCACUGCGCUUCUGCAUCGGCUGGGUCCAAAAUAGUGCUGUCUCAUCCUGGGCUGUUUGUGUUGAAGUUGGCUGUGCUCUGUUUUCAGGACUGCUGAUCCUUUGCCAGGCCGGGGGAGCUCAGCGGCCCUUCGCUGGGGGGAUGUGUCGCAGGGCUUUGUGUGAUGGCUUCAGCCAACCCUGGGUGCGGGCAGCUUUGAGUCUGAACAAACAGACAACCACAAAUUAGCGGUACCUGGGAAUAUUUGCAGCUUUAGGCUGUGUUACUCAAAACUUUUUGACAACGGUGCAAUGUAACAACAAAAAAAGAGCACCAACAAAACCCAAUGAACAAGAAAUACAUAUUGGAUGUGCCUUCUUCCUGGAAAUCUCACCUCAAUGCACGCCUUCGGGCACCAUCAGAUGUUAACAGCCACGCAGCCAAAGCAGGCUUUAAUGUUUGGUGGCUUUGGAAAGCAUCAGAGAAUGGGGAAGUUUGAGGCAGGUUUUCCAGAAAUGAGCAGAGAAAGCAGAGUGGAAUAGCAGGAGCAAACCCAGCAAAUUUCUGCCUGAGGAAUGCGUCUGAGAGCACACAAAUGAAACCAAUCUCUCUGUGGUUUUCUGCAAUUGCUCUGCAGAUUGGUUCCUCUCUGGGGUUUGUUCUAUGAUGGAUUUGGGCGUCUAAGAUUAAUGGCCAUAGAAGAGCUGAUGGUACUGAUGGCACAUUUGUAAGGCUCAGUAAAAAUGGUGAGCCUGGCAGGUACUGGGGGAGCUUUACAUCAUUUUCUUUUAUUAUUGCUGUCCACGGCCUGGAUCUGGACUGUUCUCAAGACAAGUGAGAAGGGCAGCCAGCAGCCAACACAGUGUUGCACUUGCAGUCCUGAUCCAUUAAUUUGUGAAACGUGGGCUUGCUGUUGGGCCGUGCACUUCAGGGAGAGGUGAAUGUUGGCUGAGAGAGAAGAAAUAAAGCAGUGUUUUACAGCAACCCAGCGGCACAGAAGGUAUGUGUGUUUACUUUCCAUAAUUCUGUUUAAGCGUCUCUAAUUCCUACGUUGUGAUCGUUUGAUUGUUUUUAAAGGAGGGCUGUGGAAUAUAAGAGAUUGAGAGUGACACGCACAUCAGUCUGGUCACAAUGAAAGGAGAAGUGUGAGCACGGAGCUGCACUCAGUCAGCACCGUCAGCGUUAGGAGGGUGAAUCUAAAAGUUGGCACUUGGUCUUGUUGAACCUCCUACAGCUGGCCUCAGCCCAACCAUGCAGCCUGUCUGCAUCCCUACACCAGGCCUUCCUUCCCCCAGGCACGUCCAGUGCUUCCUCCUAACAUGGUGUCCAAUGCUUCCUCCCAACUUGGUGUGCAG